GCCUUGAUAGCUCAGUUGGGAGAGCGUAACACUGAAGAUGUUAAGGUCGCUGGUUCGAGCCCGGCUCAAGGCA